ACUGUAUAGUACUGUACACUGUAUAGUUACUAUGUAACUAUGUAACUAUACAGUGUACAGUACUAUACAGU